GUAGGUGGCAAGCGUUGUCCGGAAUUAUUGGGCGUAAAGCGCGCGCAGGCGGUUCUUUAAGUCUGAUGUGAAAGCCCACGGCUCAACCGUGGAGGGUCAUUGGAAACUGGAGAACUUGAGUACAGAAGAGGAAAGCGGAAUUCCACGUGUAGCGGUGAAAUGCGUAGAGAUGUGGAGGAACACCAGUGGCGAAGGCGGCUUUCUGGUCUGUAACUGACGCUGAGGCGCGAAAGCGUGGGGAGCAAACAGGAUUAGAUACCCUGGUAGUCCACGCCGUAAACGAUGAGUGCUAAGUGUUAGGGGGGUUCUCCGCCCCCGUUAGUGCUGCAGCUAACGCAUUAAGCACUCCGCCUGGGAGUACGGCCGCAAGGCUG
rnacentral:rRNA from 1 species